GUGGAUUAGAUACCCUGGUAGUCCACGCCGUAAACGAUGGAUACUAGCUGUUGGGCGCAAGUUCAGUGGCUAAGCGAAAGUGAUAAGUAUCCCACCUGGGGAGUACGAACGCAAGUUUGAAACUCAAAGGAAUUGACGGGGGCCCGCACAAGCGGUGGAGCAUGUGGUUUAAUUCGAUGAUACGCGAGGAACCUUACCAAGGCUUAAAUGUAGUACGACAGGACUGGAAACAGUUUUUUCUUCGGACGUAUUACAAGGUGCUGCAUGGCCGUCGUCAGCU
rnacentral:rRNA from 1 species